AACGUAGGAGGCGAGCGUUAUCCGGAUUUACUGGGUGUAAAGCGCGUGUAGGCGGUCCUGCAAGUGGCGCGUGAAAGCGCCCGGCUCAACCGGGCGAGGACGUGACCGAACUGCGGGGCUAGAGGCAGGUAGAGGCGUGUGGAAUUCCGGGUGUAGUGGUGAAAUGCGUAGAGAUCCGGAGGAACACCAGUGGCGAAGGCGACACGCUGGGCCUGACCUGACGCUGAGAGGCGAAAGCAUGGGGAGCGAACGGGAUUAGAUACCCGGGUAGUCCCUGA
rnacentral:rRNA from 1 species